rnacentral:rRNA from 1 species
UACGUAGGGUGCGAGCGUUAAUCGGAAUUACUGGGCGUAAAGCGUGCGCAGGCGGUUCGUUGUGUCCGAUGUGAAAGCCCCGGGCUUAACCUGGGAAUGGCAUUGGAAACUGGCGAGCUUGAGUGCGGCAGAGGGGGGUGGAAUUCCAGGUGUAGCAGUGAAAUGCGUAGAGAUCUGGAGGAACACCGAUGGCGAAGGCAGCCCCCUGGGCUGACACUGACGCUGAGUGAGCGAAAGCCAGGGGAGCAAACGGG